rnacentral:ncRNA from 1 species
CGGGGAGCUUGGGCGCGGCGACAUACCGUGUAUCAGGCUGAGAGGGCAGUAAUCGCCGACCCGCUGAACCUGACGGAUAAUGCCGGCGUAGGGAAUAAUAUCUAU